rnacentral:lncRNA from 1 species
AGACUCGGUCCUCUCCCAGGGUCCAUUUGUUUAACUAACCAGCAGAGGGCUUCAGUCAAUGAAUGGACUGAAAUCCAUGAACACAGUGCCCACCAUAUAGUCAUGGCUUAAUAAAUGCUAGUAAGCCCCGCCUGACCCGACACGUUGGGUCCGUGUUGUCCAGCUUGGCAGAAGAGAGCUCUCUCCCUGUGCUCCUCAGAGCUGGUGGUGAGCACCCAUCUGGUGGACGGCCUCAGGCUGCCUGGGGGCCAGGUCCUGCAGACUGCCUUUCGACUGUGGCCCUCUCUCUCAUCUGCAGGCCCCAAACAGGAGAUGGCCAGGGACUUCUGGAGGAUGGUCUGGGAGCAGAAGUCAGAGACCAUUGUCAUGCUGACCAACUUGAAAGAAAGAAAAAAGGCUUUGGCUCUUCCAGCUUUGUUUCGGGUGCCACCCUGGCAGCAUGGAGUAAUCUAAUGCCCCUACUUCUAGAUGGUGACGACCCGUGACAUGGACUCUCACUGCCUUUCUUCUCCAGGAGACUCUUCCCUAG